ensembl:lncRNA
CUGGGACCAGAGCCCAGGACGCCGGGAACAGGGGUCACCGCCAUCCCCCAGUGCCCCCACCCCCACCCCCGAGUCCUGGUGUACACACAGAUCCAGACACCGGGACACAACAAGACCAAACAGACCUGGAGACCCUGGAGAAAAACAAAAACAAAAACAAAAACCAAAACCAAAAAGGCCUUCGAGCCCUGUUCCUGGGACUUCCCCCUCGCCUCAUCUCGGUUUCACAUCUGUAAACGUGGGGACCUUCAUACGCAGACCUUAGGGCAAUGUCGCUGUGGUGACGAUGAAGGGAUUCUGAAGACCUGGAGAUUGAAGCGCUGAUCACCGACACACCAAUCCAAACGGAGUCAUUCCGCAUCGAUUGAACAUUUACCACAGGCAAGUCCGUGCAGUCUGAGCUGUGAGUGCGACCAAGAUGACAGUACACUGGGCGCUUGUGAGUGGGGAAGGUCCUAGCUAAUGAAUAGGUAUAAACAUAGACAAAGCCGGGUGUUGGUGACACAGGCCUCUAAUCCCAGCACUCCAGAAGGUGAGGCAGGCAGAUGUCUGAGUCUUUUGAGGCCAGCCUGGUCUACAAAGCAAGUUCCUUGAUACCAGAACUAUAC